rnacentral:rRNA from 1 species
UACGUAGGGUGCGAGCGUUAAUCGGAAUUACUGGGCGUAAAGCGUGCGCAGGCGGUUCGUCGUGUCCGAUGUGAAAGCCCCGGGCUCAACCUGGGAAUGGCAUUGGAAACUGGCGGACUCGAGUGUGGCAGAGGGGGGUGGAAUUCCGCGUGUAGCAGUGAAAUGCGUAGAUAUCGGGAGGAACACCAGUGGCGAAGGCGGCGAUCUGGGUCGAUACUGACGCUGAGGUGCGAAAGCGUGGGGAGCAAACAGG